UUCUGGACAUCAAAUAUAAU
rnacentral:piRNA from 1 species